UGGGGAAUCAUGGUCAAUGGGCGAAAGCCUGACCCAGCGACGCCGCGUGGGUGAUGAAGGCCUUCGGGUUGUAAAGCCCUUUCGUGCGGAAAGAGCAGUCCCGUGGUUAAUAUCCACGGGAUUUGACGGUACCGCAGGAAGAAGCACCGGCUAACUCCGUGCCAGCAGCCGCGGUAAUACGGAGGGUGCAAGCGUUGUUCGGAAUUAUUGGGCGUAAAGGGCGCGUAGGCGGUUGUGUAAGUCAGAUGUGAAAUACUUCGGCUUAACCGGAGAACUGCAUUUGAAACUGCAUAACUAGAGUACAGGAGAGGGAAAUGGAAUUCCCGGUGUAGAGGUGAAAUUCGUAGAUAUCGGGAGGAACACCAGUGGCGAAGGCGAUUUCCUGCCUGAUACUGACGCUGAGGCGCGAAAGCGUGGGGAGCAAACA
rnacentral:rRNA from 1 species